rnacentral:tRNA from 2 species
AUUUAUAUAGUUUAAAUAAAACAUUACAUUUUCAUUGUAAAAAUAAAUUUCUUUAUUUUAUAAAUU